rnacentral:rRNA from 1 species
AGAACAAAGGCACAAGGUACCAAUCCCAUAAAUUUUUUCAGUUCGGAUCGCAGUCUGCAACUGAUGCGUGAAGCUGGAAUCGCUAGUAAUCGCGGAUCAGCAUGCCGCGGUGAAUACGUUCCCGGGCCUUGUACACACCGCCCGUCACACCACGAGAGUUUGCAACACCCGAAGUCGGUGAGGUAACCUUUAUGGAGCCAGCCGCCGAAGGUGGGCAGAUAUGGGGG